GUGGGGAAUAUUGGACAAUGGGGGAAACCCUGAUCCAGCAAUGCCGCGUGGGUGAAGAAGGCCUUAGGGUUGUAAAGCCCUUUCGGCGGGGAAGAUGAUGACUGUACCCGCAGAAGAAGCCCCGGCUAACUCCGUGCCAGCAGCCGCGGUAAUACGGAGGGGGCUAGCGUUGUUCGGAAUUACUGGGCGUAAAGGGCGCGUAGGCGGCCCACAAAGUCAGACGUGAAAGCCCCGGGCUCAACCUGGGAAUUGCGCUUGAAACGUGUGGGCUAGAGUCCGGGAGAGGAUGGUGGAAUUCCCAGUGUAGAGGUGAAAUUCGUAGAUAUUGGGAAGAACACCGGUGGCGAAGGCGGCCAUCUGGACCGGUACUGACGCUAAGGCGCGAAAGCGUGGGGAGCAAACAGG
rnacentral:rRNA from 1 species